AAAGGCGCUUCCUUGCGCUGGGUGAAUUUUGUGUCCUUUGCCAACUCAUGACCGUUGAACCACAGAUGAGAGAUCUGGGAGGUCAGGUCAGCGUUUAUCGAGCACCUGCUGCAUGCCUGGCUUUGGGAAAGGCUGAGCGGCCCUCAGAGAGGCUUGUGGGGCAUUAGCAGUCAGUCAGGAAGAGGGCUCCACUUUGCUGAGGGCGGGCUGAACUGCAGUGCCAGGAUGACACCCCCAGAGUUCACAGCAGCUCCCACUGGGGGGUAACCAGAGCCCCCCUGCCCCUGUCACUAAGCUGGGGUUUUGAGUUAUUCUCAGAGCUGACCUUCCUCUGAACCGCGGCCGCUGUCUGUAAAGGCCAAGGGGCGGGGUGAGGCAGGAGGUGUGACUGCAGGCCUGAAAAGGAGAGCUGGAGGGCAGCAGAGAAGAGGCGCCAGGCCUGGGUGGGGCCUUGCCAGGCAGCUUGUAGAGCAAACUUGCUGGCAUGGCAGAGCUGCAAGCCACUCUGACAACAGAUGUCACAUGGACUCAUCUCUGCUAGAGCCACAGCUGGUGCCCAGCACUGAGUAGGAGCUUUCCUUGCCGCUGGCCUCUGAGUGCAGCGUGGUGUGCAAAGGGCUCUGGCUUUGGAAUGCAGGGAAGGCUUAGGAUGCAGGGUACAGUCUUGGGUGUUGUGAAUAUAGAGGGCAUAGCUCUAACACAUGACCGUGGCCGGGGCACCAAAGAGGGCACUGUCUUGGCGUUCCCAUGGGGACUGCUUCCAGGCCCUUAGACGAAGCUCUUCCUUGGUGGAGGAUACCCACAGAUGUAACCUCCAGAAGUCUUGGAGUCUGGGACAGAAUUAAGCCCUAAUGCCUAAGGGAUCUCUUGUGUGUAAUGAGGUAACUUCUUUCUAGAAUGGGACUAGUUAAUGUACCAUCCUUGGAAGAACUGAGAAGUCACUCAAAUCAUUUUUUGUGUCCUGUGGCUCAGAUGAGAAACCCCGGUUGAGAGAGCUUCUAACAAAUGUUGUGUGCCUGAUAAAGGAGGCAGGUACCUCCCACCUCCUCCCUGGGACCUGGAGCCUGAGCAGGUGGCUGUCAGGGACAUGUGGCUGCCCCUGUUUGCCAGGGAGCCCCACAGAGCAGAGCUGGGCCCCAGUGUGGGCUCUCAUUGCCUGCAACAGCCAAGCGUGCAGAGAUGAGUUGGACUGUGGCUUAGGGAGAGGCCUGGGUCUCCUGGGUAAGGCCUGGAAUAAUAGUUGUGCACCCGAACAUGGGGGCACGACUGGCGGUGGGCACAGUUGAGGCCUCCUGGGCCAGGCCCGACAUACUGUGUACCACAGUGGCUGGAGGAGAGACCUGCCUGGUCACUAAAAGUAUAUAUUGCUGAAUCGAGAAGUGACAUCUGAGGAGCCAGGGACAGGGGCAGAUGAGAUUUCUGGAGCUAGGGUGUCAGGUGAGAUACAGGGGUCAGAACAUGUAGGGAUACUGCGCUGGCUCUGAGGUAAGAUCAGAAGAGUCCAGUCUGACAGAGGUAGGUACAUGCGGUGAGGCCUGGUCAGCUGGGGGCAGCCCUGGGGCAGCCUCCCGUGCUGGAAUUGGCAGAGGUAUGGUGGGAACUGUGAGGUGUUUCAGAGUCAGGCUCAGCCGGAGUCGGCACACAGUCGAGAGUAAUUGGGCUGGUGAGGUCUGAAGAGGGACCAGGACAGGUACAGGAGAGUUCUGGGGAGCCAAGACAAGUAGAGGUGCAGACGAGGUCUCUGAAUUCUCGAGGGGACACAGUAUUUAAACAUGAUUCUGUUACCUGAGGUCUGAGGAUCCAGUCACGUACAGGUACUUAACCUGGGUCUGGGAGUUGAGGUUUAGAUCUGGGGCAUGGAGCAGCUGUAGGCGCUGGAGAGGGAGCCUCAGGAAGUGGGUGGCCGAGCACUCAGGAGGCAGACUCAGGGUUAGGCAGGCCCGGGUACUUCCCCUGAGCCACCCCGACCAGGUGUGAUGGCCGGAGCUCAGGCUGUUACCGCGGUCUCCCAGGAUCCAUGACCAGCCCAAGGCGUGGUCUGUGGCAUUGUGCCGUGGCUGGGGUGGGGUUUGAGGAGCCCAGGGGUCAGGCAGGUUAUAAAAGCUGAAGACUGGGUAGUGAGGCCUGGGGCAGGUGAAGAACAGACAGGUGGGCUAAGGAGCUCCGUGGGUAAGGUGUGGUCCGGGGCUCCUGGAAGACGAGAUGUCCAAGGCCCAGGCCGCUCAGAAACUUGCUCCAGUGGGCUCUCGCCAGGCUUCCGGCGGACUGAGGUAAGCAGCCAGGAGUGUGUCAGGUCCGAGGGGAGUGUCUGUAGCGUCUGCCGAGGGUGCUCCCUGGAGCCAUGUCUGUCUGAAGUCUCAGGAGCUGGAAUGAGACGAGGUGGGUGUACUAAGUUUCUUAGGGAGGCCUGAGCAGCCAAAUUAGGCACAUGUAGGUUGAAUUAGAUUGGUCAGGUAGGAACACUGGAGCUGAAGGUAGGCAGAGGCAGAGUCGGAUCUAACAGGUGAGGACUGGAAGCCCUUGACCAGGUCCAGGUCAGAACUCUGUCCUCAGCCGGGGUCCGAGCAGUUCUGGUGACACGGAGGGUGAUGGUCCCAGAGACACCGUAAGUACCCUGGGGAAAGACUGAAAAGCUGGAGUUCGGUAAAGGGAUGGAAACCUGUAUCCAUCUGGAAGGUUUAUGAAUUCUGGCUCUAGCUCAGGUAUGUGGGGCAGGUCUCUCAGGUGGGGUUGGAGGAGUUGAGGUAAGAUACAGUUUUGUACUUUGGAGUCUCAGACAGGUAAGGUCUGAGCUGCUGAGGUCAGGCCCUGGUUUGUAUUCUGAAUCUGAAGAGCUGGGGUCAGGCACAGGUGGGUAGAGCUCAGGUUUUCAGGUAACAUCUAUGCCACCAGGGCAAGCAGAGGUAGGCUGACCUGGAAAGCCGCAGUUAGGUCAUGCGGCUCUGGUCGCGGUUCAGCUCAGGCCCCGGUGGGCAGGGCACACCUGUCAAGUGAAGCCUGAGGAGCCAGCAUUAGGCUCAUCUGGAAAGAACUGGGUCUCUUACAUGAUCUCUGAAGAUACGAAGUAAAGGCAGGUGGAGAGAAUUAGCUCUCUCGGGUGAGGUUUGAGGAGCCAGGGUUGGGUACAAGCGACUAGAUUUAGAUCUGUCAGGUAAGGUCACGAUAGGAAGGUAGAACCACAUCUCCACCUAUCUUUUAGAGAGAUCUGUGGGACUGGGGAGUGGCCAGGCACAGGUAUGUGGAAUUCGUUUCUCAGGUAAAGUCUAUGGAAUCUAGCACAGGUUGAAUGUAGGCAGGUCAUGUUGGCUUUUUCAGAUGUUGGAUUCAGGCAAAGGUACAGAGUUACAGACAGGUGGUAGGGCAGGGUUUGUUGGGUAAGGUCUACGGAGCCAGAUCUGGGCAGGUUCAUAAUAGCAGGCCCAGUGAAAUGUAAGUCACAGUCAAGCCCAGGUGAGAACUGAAUGUCUUAGAUGAGAUGUGAACAUCUGAGAUGAGGUUCAGGUGGGCAGAGCUAGCCCAGGUACAGUUCAGGAGCUAGGAAUAAACCCAGGUAGGUAGAACUGGCCUGCAGGUGUGGUCUGAGGAGCCAAGGUCAAGCACAGGUGGGUAAAACUAGCUCACCGUGUGAGAUCUGAGAAACAAAGUCACACCUAGGUAGGCAGAGCUGGUCUACCAGAGUGGUUGGAGGAGCCAGGAUUGGAAACAGGCGAAGCUGGCCUGCCAAGCAUAGUUUAAGAAGCCAAGGUCAAGCAUAGGUAGGUAGAACUGGCUGAAUAGGUGAGUUUGGAAGAGCCUCACAGACAGGUAGGCAGAGCUAGCCUGCCAAGAGUGGUUGGAGGAACUGGGGUCAAGCGCAGGUAGGCAGAGUUGGCCUGCCAGGUGUGAUCACAGGUAGGCAGAACUGGCCUACCAGGUGAGGUUGAAAGAGCUAUGGUCAGAGACAGGCAGAGAUGGCCUGUCUGGUAUGCUCUGAGGACCCAGACUCAAGCACAGGUGGGCAGAGCUGGCCCACCAGGUGAGGUCUGAGGAGCCAGGAUCAAGCACAGGUAGGUGGAACUGGCCUGUCAGGUGAGGUUAGUAAUCAGGAUCAAGCACACGUAGGCAGAGCUGAGACGUGAGGAGUCAAGGUCAGGUACAGACAGGUAUGUAGACCCGGUCUGUCCCUGCGUGGUCUGGAGCCUGUCUCUGACAGGUGUGUAUGUAACCCUGCAGUCUGAGGUAUUGCAGUAGAACACAUACAAGCAGAGCUGUCCUCCCAGGGUAGGACAAGGUGAGUGGAACUGGCCCACAAGGUGUGAUCUGAGGUGCCAGGGUCAAGCGCAGGUAGGCAGAGCUGGCCCACCAGGUGAGGUCUGAGGCUCCAGGGUCAAGCACAGGUAGGUGGAACUGGCCUGUCAGGUGAGGUGUGAGGAAUCAGGAUUAAGCACAGGUGGGUGGAACUGGCCCACCAGGUGUGGUCUGAGGCUCAAGCACAGGUAGGCAGAGCUAGCCCACCAGGUGAGGUCUGAGGCUCCAGGGUCAAUCAAGCACAGGUAGGUGGAAUGCCCACCAGGUGAGGUCUGAGGAGCCAGGGUCAAGCACAGGUAGGUAGAGCUAGCCCACCAGGUGAGGUCUGAGGCUCCAGGGCCAAGCACAGGUAGGUGGAAUGCCCACCAGGUGAGGUCUGAGGAGCUAGGAUCAAGCACAGGUAGGUGGAAUGCCCACCAGGUGAGGUCUGAGGCUCCAGGGUCAAGCACAGGUAGGUGGAAUGCGCACCAGGUGAGGUGUGAGGAGCCAGUGUCAAGUACAGGUAGGUAGAGCUGGCCCACCAGGUGCAGUUGGGAGAGCCAUGGUCAGAGACAGGUAGGCAGAGCUGGGCUGUCAGGUGAGAUUUCAGGAGCCAGGGUCAAGCACAUGUAGGCAAAGCUGCCCCACCAGGUAUGGUUUAAGGACCCAAUGUCAGGCCACAAGUAGGUGUAGUCUGAGGAGUCAAGGUCAAGCACAGGUAUGCAGAGCUGGCCCAUCAGCUGCAGUAUAAGGAGCCAGAGCAUGUACGAGUCUGCCAAGCUGGCCCGUCAGGAGCCUUAGGACCUAGGGUCAGACACAGGCAGGUAGUGCUGGCCCACCAGCUGUGGUGUAAGGAGCCAGGGGCAGGUAAGUAGGCAGAUCUGGCCUGCCUGGUGUGGUAUGAGGAGCCAGGGUCAGAGGCAGGUAGGCAAAGCCUAUCUGCCAAGUGUACUGGUCUCGAGGAAGCCUAAGGAGUUAGGGUUGAGUAUAGGCAGAUCAUGUUGGCUUUUUCAGAUGUUGGACUCAGGCAAAGGUAUGGACCCCUGGGUCUUCAUGGAGAGGCCUGAAGUGGAUUGAGCAGCCUCCCAAGUCAGGCCCACAACACUGGGUUUUUCCUUAGGUAGGAAGAACACAGUGGGGCUCGUAGGAAGUCCGUGGACCCUAAAUUAGACACAAGUAGGUAGAUGUGGCUCUCUCAGCAAGGACUUUGGAGCCAGAGGUCUGUCAACCAGAGUCUUGCGAGUAAAGUCCUUGGAGCAUGGUUCUGGUGUAGGUGUGUUGACCCAGGUCUUAAGAGUUUAGGCCUAGGGAACAUGGGUCAGUCACAGGUAGGUAGAACCACAUGUUCAGGUGGGGUCUGGAGCACAGGUGUGUAGGGAGGGUCACACUGCCUGAAGUGUGAGGCUUCUCAGUCCCAGGCUAAGCAGGGGUUGUUAGCGUUGGGUUGUGUGCAAAGUAUGACAAGCCGUGUCAGACACGGGAUACAGACCUGGGUCUCAAGUGGGGCCUGGGAGCCAAAGUCAGGCCCAUGUAGAUAAAGCUGGGUCACUCGGGAAGGUGUGCAGAGACUGAGUUGGGCUUGGAGAGGUGAGCCUGGGUCUGUCACUUGAGACGUGAGGAGUCAAGGUCAGGCACAAACCGGUAUGUAGACCUGGUCUAUCCCCGCAUGGUCUGGAGCCUGUCUCUGACAGGUGUGUACGUAACCCUGCAGUCUGAGGUACUGCAGUAGAACACAUACAAGCAGAGCUGUCCUCCCAGGGUCACAUGGCAGUGGUACAUAAAUGUAAUUUAUAUGUUCUUGCCACUUGGCUUCAGGUAUAAAUUGGCAUUCCUGGCCUUGUUAGGUGAAAUUAGUAGGCAAGAUCUAGCCCAGAAAUAUAUUUGGUGUGGCUGGAGAGACCUGAGAAGGUGAGUCAGACACAGGUGGGAUCUUUGGUGGUAGGAUCAGGCACAGUUAGGUGGGUAACGGGCUGUCAUCAAGGGAAAGCCAGAGGCAGCCUAGGCAUGUGUAUGUGGGUCUGCCUGGGGAGAGCUCAAGAACCGUUAGGAUCAGGUAGAAUGGAUAGUAAGCCCUGAGCCAACCACCUGGUCUCAGCACCCUGGUGAGGUGUGAUGGGCGGAGCUCAGGCUAUUACAGAGGUCUGAGGAUCUGCAACCAGUCUAAGGUGGUGGACCGGAGUUGGUGGCACAGGAUCUGCGUUAUCCAGGUCAGGAAAAAGAUAAGAUUAUACCUGGUUAGAUAAAAUGAAGUCAAGGCCCUGGGCAGGUGAGAUAUAGAAUGUCUAACUGACUGAGGAGCUGCAUCUGUAAGGUGUGAUCUUAGAAGCCCAUGGCGGGUAUAGGUGAGGCCUAGAGACCUGUCUGCAAGUUAGGGUCUCAGAGGCUCAAGUCAGACAUAGGCAUUGCUGGGCUCUCCCCGAAGUGAGGCCUGACGACCUGGCCUCAGUCCAGGGCAGCAGCGUAGAAUCCACCAGUCUGAGGGCUGACUGGCUGCUUAGUCCAGUUUCUAGAAUUGAGUCAGGUGAGAUCUGAGAGCCUAGGUCAGGCAUGUGUGGCCCUGUGUGACUGUAUCUGUCAGGUAAGUUUCCCCAAAAUCUGUAGUCAAAUUCUGUUCCCCUGAGCUAUACCCCGAAGGUUCCCCCAAAUCUGGGCCCUUUCCGGGUGAAGAGACUGAGCCAGAAACCUCCAGGCUAAGCUUGAGUCUCAUUCUUCCCGUUGAUGCUGUUCGGUUGAAGCCCCUGAGUCAGCCCUUGGUACUCCCCAUCCAGGGUAGCAGUAUUUUCUGGAUGACCACUAGGACUCCGAAGUUGUCUCCUGCUUCCCUUCUCACCUCACCUGCAUCCUUCUUGGUUCUCCAGCCAUACCUCUCAGCCUCUGGCCUCCAGUCCUCACUCCUUCCUCCAUCUUCUGCAUUGUGUUGUGCCUCCUCCUGCUUCCAGUAGAGAAUUAAGCCCUAAUGCCCCAAGACAUCAAUUAGAUGUAAAGGAUCAGCAUCUCUCGUAUAUACCCAGAAGGGUACUGCCCUUGGGAGAACUGAGAGGUCACUGAAUUGAGUCAUUCUCUGUGGGGUGUAAUUCUCUCACAGUUGAAAAAGGCUGCUCUUGCCACAGGACCUUUGUAUAUGCUCUUCUGGCUGCUGAAAUGCCUCUCCCUCAGUGUUUCCCUGGUAAUGCCUGCUCAUUCUUCAGAUCCAGACUCUAGCACACCUCACAUUCCUUUUAUAAUUAGUUUCAGUACUGUAUUUCCUUUCUCCCAAGCACUUUGUCUCAUUUUCACAUUUAUUGGCCUGAUGAUUUCAUCUACAUCUCUCUCCUCCAGGGACUAUUUCUGUGGCCUGUGCUAGGAAUGUGGUAGGUGCUCUGUAAAUAGUUGUUAGGAAGAUAUAAAUGGAGCUCUGAGGAUUCUGAUGAUACAAAGUGGAGUCUGCAAGUGUGACAUGAGAAGGCACAGUGUGGAUGGUAAGCCUAGGUGUGUCUUGGGCCUGAGGCUGAGAGGAUAGGUCAA